UGCAAAUCUCCUGUUUUUGACUCUAGCAGAUGUGGCCUCAAGUGUCCAUAGGAUUUGGAGGAGGAUUACAAGUAGGUUUUUGUAUUUUUGCUGGAAUUGAGAGGCAGGGGAAGCACCAUUUGACUUCUUAUUGAGUGGUUGCUAGAAGGUGCCAUCUGUACCUCCCUCUGUGCAGAAAUAAUGUCAGUGGGAAAUCUGUGGUCACAUUUGUCUGGGACAGAGUGUAUUCACCUCCUCUUUUAUACCUCUGUGUUUCAACAUUUCCUUUUUCUUCUAUUACACAAACAGAAAACGUUAUUUAAAGAUUCCACUUCUCAAAAGCUGAUGACGUUGAGAUUCAGGAUUCUUGCUGGAUUCUGCAGCGAAGUGUUCUGGGAGAUUGAUGCUGCACUGAGGAGCCUGAGGGAUGGAGACUACAACCGAGGGGGAUCAGUAAGAUAAAAUCUGUCAGUAAAGCUCUGAUAUGCCCAGACGAAUGAAGGAUGGAUCAACCAGGUCAAAAAACAGUAAAAGUUAUGCAACCUCUGAAAGCUGUAACGUGCUGAUUCUCUCUUUGGAGGAACUGUACCCAGCUGCAUGAUAUACAAUAUGGUUGCUCGUUUAUAGAGCUUUUCUGCCAAGACUGUAAAGUACCAUUGUGAAUACCAAGUGGUGUUUGUGUGUAAUCUUAACAUAACAUAAAGCACAGCUUUAUUGGGGUCCCUCAUCAGCUCUUUGCUGGCCAUGGUAUAAGCCGGUACAGAAUUGGAAACUGCACUGUGUGAAGUUUAUCCAUGUUUCUACUGAUAUUUAGGGAGGGCCAUCUCCGCAGCAAUUUGGUUAAAGUAAGACAUGCUCUUUUAUUUUGUAUGAGUACCUGAAACCCUCUCCUAUAAGCUCAUAAAAUGUGAUUGCAUACAAGAUGUUGAUGGCCUAGGGGAAGCUCUGAACAACUGGGAGUCAUUACCACGAUUUUGCUGCAAAAAUGAUCCAUGAUCUGCUGUGUUUUCCAACGCUCUUCUCAGAAAGACCAAAGGAACUGCAAGCUUCAGAG
ensembl:lncRNA